rnacentral:tRNA from 1 species
ACCUGGCUGGCUCAGUUGGUAGAGCAUGCAACUCUUGAUUUCAUGGUCAUAAGUUCAAGCCUCAUGUUGGUUA